ensembl:antisense Mccc1os methylcrotonoyl-Coenzyme A carboxylase 1 (alpha), opposite strand
AACUCGGCCAAGGUCACAGGUAAGCUGGGAACCCAACCUUCUGCAGGCAGUUCUUGCCCUUGGGCCAGUAUGUUUUUCAGAAUGCGAGGAGGUGAUGAUUAUGAUGAAGUAAUCUAUCUACAUGACUUGGGGUUUUCACUGUUGUCAAAGCGUGGAGCUUCAUUUCCAAAAGGAUCCGGGGUAGUCAUCUGCCAGCUUUGUUCAAACUUGUGAACAAGAGCUUUCGACAAAACUCACCCCUCUUUAAUUUGACUCUUCCCAGCAAUGGGAAAGGUCUCUAGAAAUCCUUCUCUGAACUGCACUCAAAAUGAGGGAGCUAAGCUGAAAGCGACUUUGGGAAAGGGGUCCUGGUGCAAGCCUCUAGCUACGUAUGCCAUCUUCGGUUGCAGCACCGUGCGGGGUGCCCAGAUCAGAAACCAGCCAAGGUGGCAGAGUCUGUAGGAAGAGCCAAAGACUGAAGUGGGACAGCGCCUACCAAAACUACACACAGGCACUUAAAGGGCUGCUCUCACGUGACCCAGCGCCUCGCAUCCGGGCCGCGCACGGACCGGCAGUACCCCUGAGUCACCUCGGCUGCAGCAGCAGGAUCGGGACCCGUCGCAACUGGUUCCUGUCCACCGCAGCCAACAACGCCGCCGCCGCCAUCUCCGCGCUGUUCUGCUGGAUUCCAAAAGCUGCUUGGCUUAUUCUUGAAAGCGUCCCUCCCUGCGCAAGCUUCUUGUCCCCGAUCCGCCACCGUAGCUCCGAAGAGCAAGUAGGCGUCUCCGCAAGAGCCAAUCACAAAACUGGGUGUUUCAAGCUAGAUUGUCCUUGCUGCGUGAGACCCACCUGCUACAGUUGAGAAAGAAUGGAGCGAGGCCAGCUCAAUAUCACAGAUGCUGGAAGGCUGCCAAGCCACUCACAGACUUGACUUCAAUUUCCAUUGGAAAGCACACAGAGAAGACAGUAGCUGACCAUAUCUGAGCUAGUGCCCUUUGCAGUGGGCUGAGCCUGGCUACUGCCUAAGCAGAAAUUCAACUCAACAAGGCAAACUGAGACAAGUGAGUAGACAUACAACAAACAAGAGUGUGCCUGAUAAAGUCCUGCACACAAAUACCCCAACCAAACCUCCCCGAAAACAGUGCCACUAACUGGGAAACAAAUGGUCAAGUAUGGGGGAACAUUUCUUAUUCAAAACAUUGUCAAUUGGUGAAUAUGGGUUAUUGAAAUCGCCCACUUUUACUGUGUUUGGAUCAAUCUGUGGUUUUAGAUCUACCAGUUCUUCUUUUAUGAAAUGGGGUGACCCUGUAUUUGAUGUACACGUGUUUAUUAUUGUAGUGUACGGUUGGUAGAUUUCCUUUUUCUUUGAGGAGAAUGAAGAAUCUCUCUGCCUUUGUUUGGGUUUUACUGCUGUGAACAGAUACCAUGAUCAAGGCAACUAUUACAAGGACAACAUUUAAUUGGAGUUGGCUUGCAGAUUCAGAGGUUCAGUCCAUUAUUAUCAAGGUGGGAGCAUGGCAGUGCCCAGUCAGGAAUGGCACUGGAGGAGCUGAGAAUUCAACAUCUUGUUCUGAAGGCAAACAGCUGAAGACUGGCUUCCAGGCAGCUAGGAUGUAGGUCUUAAAGCCCAAGCCCGCAGGGACACACCUGCUCCAACAAGGCCACACCUCCUAAUAGUGUCACUCCCUGGGCCAAGCAUAUACAAACCAUCACAUGCUCCUUACCUCUUUUGGCUAGUUUUGGUUUGAAGUCUGGUUUAUCAGACAUUAGAAUAUAUUUACAAUUUAGUUUCUUUUGUUUUGAAUACUUUUUUUUUGCAUCUUUUACUCUAAAGUGAUGUCUAUUUUGAUAUGAGGCAUGUUUCUUAGAGGCAGAAAAAAAUAGAUCCCAUUUCUUAAUCCAAUCUUUUAAUCAGUCAAUUGCUGUCAUUUUGUUAAUUUUGUAAAGUUUUCUCAUAUCUUGUUGGAUUCCCUGCCAUGACACUGUUUAUUUCAUUUCUGUGACUGCUUGACUGUGUUUAUCCUUCUUUUCAGCAUUCCUUCUGGUCACCCCCUGUAGAGCUGGCUUAGUAGUAGUAAAGUCCUUUUAUCCUUUGUAUGGAAAGAUUUUAUUUUUCCUUCAAUUCUCGGGGAUAGUUUUGCUGAGUAUAGUAGUCUGGGUUGGGUAAUAUUAACUUUUUUCUAAAAAUUGGAAAUGUUCUUCAUUUUCUGCUUUAUGGAAUACUUAAGGAGUAUUAGUGUUAAUUCCUUUUUUUGAAUAUGUGGUAGAAUUUUGAGCUAAAUCCAUCUGGCCCUGAACAUUUUAUUAAUUUAGAGAUUUUUAAGUAUCAUUUGGAACCCACUGGUGCCAUGUUCCUAUCUAAAUUAUUUCUUUUUUUUUUAAUCUUGAUUCAGCUCUGUUACCCCAUAUACAUGUGGAAAUUGAUCCAUUUCUUUUAGAUGUUCUGAUUUGAUGGGAUAAAGAUUUUUAAAGUAUGUAAUUACAACUGUCUGUCGGUUGCAAUCUCUCCCCUUUUAUCCCUAAUUUUGUAAAGUUAGAUUAAAAUGUGUUGACAAUAGCUGUUGUACCAGUAUAUUGAGUUGAUAUUUAUACUUUAGAAUGUUCAUGGAUUAAUAAUAAUUGGCAAAUAAGCCAUCACUAAGUUGACAUUUAACUCCACGAAAAGUAUUAACACUUUGUUUCUUUGCUGCCUUAACAACCAACAUUGAAGAAGUCUAAGUGCAUAAAACUCUGUGAUAAAUGUGUUCACCUGUGAUAUUUACUUAAAAAUACAGAUCCAAAUAUAGUUUAAAAUAUUAAAUUUUUACUAAUAAUUGUAAGACCCUCUUUCGGGGACCCCCACUCUAGUCUCAGAAGAGAGAGCGCACCCAAAGAAACACGAGAAUCCUUCUUGCUGUAAACACACGAGGUAGUUUAAUGGCGGAGCUCCUUGUCAAAAUGUAUCGCAGGAGACAGUGGAUUUGACGACAAGGCUCAAAAGCUAGAGGUUUUUAUGGGUUAAAGGGCUUAGGGGUGGGGAAUUCAGCAUAGAGACACACUAUUGGCUUAUUCAAACAUCAGCAGAAAAAUUACAUGUACGUGCAGAUCAGGGUGUCAGAGNNNNNNNNNNNNNNNNNNNNNNNNNNNNNNNNNNNNNNNNNNNNNNNNNNNNNNNNNNNNNNNNNNNNNNNNNNNNNNNNNNNNNNNNNNNNCAGGCAGCCUCUAGGCUCACAAACAACCAGCAAUUUCUGAGUACUUUAUAUGACUUACAGGUCUUAAAAUUUCAUCUUUCUUUCAUAAUCUCUGAUACAAAAAUAUUCUUUAAUGUUUAACCUAUAUAUUGGAAAAUAAUCAAAAAAUUUUAUGAAUAGCCAAGUAACAUAUUAAAGUAAAUUUUAUAUUUCAAAUUACACACACACACACACACACACACACACACACACACACACACACACAUUUAUAUUAAAAUCUCUACAUGUUCUGAUAGGUUGUCUAGGAAGACUCUAGCUUCAUAGAUGAGUAAACUCUAGAGGAGAAGUUCUACGGAGUCCAGAUUCAGAUUCAUCAGGAACUGCAAAGAAAACAUUCUCUGUGUUAAAGACUUUAUAGUGAAUUGACAAUGAGUUAGUUUUAAAAAAUUAAAAGAAUUCAUCAGUGUUAAUGAAGAUGGACCUAACAUGUCCCACUGGUGCAACAGUGACAUGCCUGCUUUCUGAUUGGAUUUGAGGUCUGUCCAUAGGAGGAAACUGGGUUCCUGGUACUGUAAUCCUGGUCAAAAGCCUGUGGCUGGUAUCUAAGUUGGGUUACUAGUGCUGAAACAUGAAACAUCAUGACCAAAGCAACUUUGGAAAGGAAAGGGUUUAUUUGGCUUCUACUUCUCAUCACUGUUUUACAACUGAAGGAGGUAAGGACAGGAACUCGGGCAGGGCUGGGACCUCGAGGCAGGCGCUGAUGCAGAGGCCAUGGAGGGGUGCUGCUUACUGGCUUAUUCCUUGUGGGUUGCUUAGCAUGCUUUCUUAUAGAACUGAGGACUACCAGUCUGGGACUGACACUAUCCGCAAUCGAUUGGCUGGGUAGUGGAUCAAUCACUGCCCCAUCCAUCACUAACUGAAAAAAAAAUGUCUUACCUUACUUACAGUGCAAUAUUAUGGAGGCAUUUUGUUGCUGGGAACCUGCCCAGCCUUGAAUGGGCUUGAAGAGGGACACAGUGUCAAACAUUGCUUUAAAGACUGAUGGUCUCUGGCCCGCUAGCUCUCUAACUAUACUGAGUGCUUGCUGAUAACUUCGAAAAGCUUAUAAAAACUUUCUUGCUUACUCUAUGGUUUAAAAACAUGGGCUUUUUUUAUUUCCCUCUUUAACUCUGUGCUUUCUUAAACAUUAUAGCUCUCUGUGCUUUAUUUAACUCUUUAUGCUUAAAUAAACAGUGGAGAAACUU